rnacentral:lncRNA from 1 species
UUCUCGGCCAGCGCCGCCUCUGUCCGCUCCAUAAUCUGAGCCUUCGCCUCCAAGACCUUCGCCACAAUCCGGUCAUUCGCCUCGGAGGAGACCCUCAGCAGAUCAGCCUGAGCCUCCUUGUGCUUCGCCUCGGCAGCAAUGCGAGCAGCCUCAGCCUCCUCCAGGCGCGAAUGAAGCUCCUGGUCGCUCGCGCGGAACUUCUCCAAGGCCGACUCCAAUUCGCCCAGCUUGGCUUCAAGAGACCGGGUUCGGUUGCGGGCG